rnacentral:rRNA from 1 species
AGCGAACGCUGGCGGCAGGCCUAACACAUGCAAGUCGAACGAACCUUUCGGGGUUAGUGGCGGACGGGUGAGUAACACGUGGGAACGUGCCUUUAGGUUCGGAAUAACUCAGGGAAACUUGUGCUAAUACCGAAUGUGCCCUUCGGGGGAAAGAUUUAUCGCCUUUAGAGCGGCCCGGGUCUGAUUAGCUAGUUGGUUGAGGUAAUGGCUCACCAAGGCGACGAUCAGUAGCUGGUCUGAGAGGAUGAUCAGCCACAUUGGGACUGAGACACGGCCCAAACUCCUACGGGAGGCAGCAGUGGGGAAUCUAGCGCAAUGGGCGAAAGCCUGACGCAGCCAUGCCGCGUGAAUGAUGAAGGUCUUAGGAUUGUAAAAUUCUUUCACCGGGGACGAUAAUGACGGUACCCGGAGAAGAAGCCCCGGCUAACUUCGUG